rnacentral:tRNA from 1 species
AUUCUCUUAGUAUAACUAAUAUAACUGACUUCCAAUUAGUAGAUUCUGAAAAUAAUCAGAAGAGAAUA